rnacentral:piRNA from 1 species
UGAGUUUUGCAGUGUGCUACAAAUAUGGC